UAGGUCUCAGUUCAGAUUGCAGGCUGCAACCCGCCUGCAUGAAGUCGGAAUUGCUAGUAAUCGCGGAUCAGCAUGCCGCGGUGAAUACGUUCCCGGGCCUUGUACACACCGCCCGUCACACCAUGGGAGCUGGUAAUACCCGAAGUCAGUAGUCCAACCUCGUGAGGACGCUGCCGAAGGUAGGAUUGGCGACUGGGGUGAAGUCGUAACAAGGUAAC
rnacentral:rRNA from 1 species